rnacentral:rRNA from 1 species
AGGACGAACGCUGGCGGCGCGCCUAACACAUGCAAGUCGAGCGAGAACCAGGGCUUGCCCUGGGGACAGCGGCGAACGGGUGCGUAACACGUGAGCAACCUGCCCCAAAGACCGGGACAACCCGAGGAAACUCGGACUAAUACCGGAUGCCCUCACCGGGUCGCAUGGUCUGGUGAGGAAAUGGAUUCCGCUUUGGGAUGGGCUCGCGGUCUAUCAGCUUGUUGGUGGGGUAACGGCCUACCAAGGCGACGACGGAUAGCUGGUCUGAGAGGACGAUCAGCCACACUGGGACUGAGACACGGCCCAGACUCCUACGGGAGGCAGCAGUGGGGAAUCUUGCGCAAUGGGGGAAACCCUGACGCAGCGACGCCGCGUGCGGGAUGAAGGCCUUCGGGUUGUAAACCGCUUUCAGCAGGGACGAAAUUGACGGUACCUGCAGAAGAAGGCCCGGCCAACUACGCGCCAGCAGCCGC